UUUUAUGAUGAGCAAUUUUAUUAUUAGUUAUCCCUGUCAGAACUACACUGUUGAUAACGUACACCUCUGAAAA
rnacentral:snoRNA from 1 species